rnacentral:tRNA from 1 species
GGGGUUGUGGCUCAGUGGUAGAGCAUUUGCCUAGCAUGCAUGAGGCACUGGGUUCAAUCCCCAACACCACA